GUGCUUGCUUCAGCGCACAUAUACUAAAAUUGGAAUGAUACAGAGAAGGAUGACACAAAUUUGUGAAUAUUCCAUAUUUUUU
rnacentral:snRNA from 1 species